GAUUUAUUUUUCAUCUCCACUUGGAAUGCUGGUCUAUCCAUACUGAGCCUACUGAUUAGGAGUGUUGUGAUACCUCAUAUCCAUUCUUGACUGCUGACACUUUUUAUGUGAAUACGUUUGUUAUUUCACACACCCCUCAUGGUCUUGGAGCCCUCUGGGAGUGGGGGAGACCUAUGGGCAUUGAGCAUACCAUCUGACUUGGCCGCAUUGGAUCCGGCGCGCACACAGGCUCUCUGGGGACGAUCUGGGCACUCCAAGCUUGGGAGAGGAAAAACCUCACUGCUAAUGUUCCCUGAAGAAGGAUGUAUUACUAAAAGCAUUUGAAACG